UGGGGAAUAUUGCACAAUGGAGGGAACUCUGAUGCAGCGACGCCGCGUGAACGAAGAAGGCUUUCGAGUCGUAAAGUUCUUUUAUAUGGGAAGAUAAUGACGGUACCAUAAGAAAAAGCCCCGGCUAACUACGUGCCAGCAGCCGCGGUAAUACGUAGGGGCCUAGCGUUGUCCGGAAUCACUGGGCGUAAAGGGUUCGCAGGCGGAAAUGCAAGUCAGGUGUAAAAGGCAGUAGCUUAACUACUGUAAGCAUUUGAAACUGCAUAUCUUGAGAAGAGUAGAGGUAAGUGGAAUUUUUAGUGUAGCGGUGAAAUGCGUAGAUAUUAAAAAGAAUACCGGUGGCGAAGGCGACUUACUGGGCUCAUUCUGACGCUGAGGAACGAAAGCGUGGGUAGCAAACAGG
rnacentral:rRNA from 1 species